AUUGAACGCUGGCGGCAGGCCUAACACAUGCAAGUCGAGCGGCAGCGGGACCUUCGGGUCGCCGGCGAGCGGCGGACGGGUGAGUAAUGCCUAGGAAUCUGCCUGUUAGUGGGGGAUAACGCGGGGAAACUCGCGCUAAUACCGCAUACGUCCUACGGGAGAAAGUGGGGGACCCUCGGGCCUCACGCUAACAGAUGAGCCUAGGUCGGAUUAGCUAGUUGGCGGGGUAAAGGCCCACCAAGGCGACGAUCCGUAACUGGUCUGAGAGGAUGCUCAGUCACACUGGAACUGAGACACGGUCCAGACUCCUACGGGAGGCAGCAGUGGGGAAUAUUGGACAAUGGGCGAAAGCCUGAUCCAGCCAUGCCGCGUGUGUGAAGAAGGUCUUCGGAUUGUAAAGCACUUUAAGUUGGGAGGAAGGGCGCUCGGUGAAUACCCAGGCGUCUUGACGUUACCGACAGAAUAAGCACCGGCUAACUUCGUGCCAGCAGCAGCCGUAAAAC
rnacentral:rRNA from 1 species